rnacentral:rRNA from 1 species
UACGUAGGGUGCAGGCGUUAAUCGGAAUUACUGGGCGUAAAGCGUGCGCAGGCGGUUUGCUAAGACAGGUGUGAAAUCCCCGGGCUUAACCUGUGAACUGCGCUUGUAACUGGCAAGCUAGAGUGUGGCAGAGGGGGGUGGAAUUCCACGUGUAGCAGUGAAAUGCGUAGAGAUGUGGAGGAACACCGAUGGCGAAGGCAGCCCCCUGGGCUAACACUGACGCUCAUGCACGAAAGCGUGGGGAGCAAACAGG